AAUUUUGGACAAUGGGGGAAACCCUGAUCCAGCCAUCCCGCGUGUAUGAUGAAGGCCUUCGGGUUGUAAAGUACUUCUGGUAGAGAAGAAAAGGUAUGUACUAAUACGAGAUACUGCUGUCGAUCUCUGCUGAAUAUGUAUCGGCUCACUACAUGCCCGCAGCCGCGGUAUUACGUAGGUUGCAAGCGUUAAUCGGAAUUACUGGCCGUAAAGCGUGUGUAGGCGGUUCGGAAAAAAAGAUGUGAAAUCCCAGGGCUCAACCUUGGAACUGCAUUUUUAACUGCCGAGCUAGAGUAUGUCAGAGGGGGGUAGAAUUCCACGUGUAGCAGUGAAAUGCGUAGAUAUGUGGAGGAAUACCGAUGGCGAAGGCAGCCCCCUGGGAUAAUACUGACGCUCAGACACGAAAGCGUGGGGAGCAAACA
rnacentral:rRNA from 1 species